rnacentral:rRNA from 1 species
UACAGAGGUCCCAAGCGUUGUUCGGAUUCACUGGGCGUAAAGGGUGCGUAGGCGGUCGGGUAAGUCUGAUGUGAAAUCUCACAGCUUAACUGUGAAACUGCAUUGGAUACUAUCCGGCUAGAGGAAUGGAGGGGAGACUGGAAUACUUGGUGUAGCAGUGAAAUGCGUAGAUAUCAAGUGGAACACCAGUGGCGAAGGCGAGUCUCUGGACAUUUCCUGACGCUGAGGCACGAAAGCGUGGGUAGCAAACAGG